AGCCCUUUGAGUGAGCUUGAGCUUGGAAAUUGACAACCCAGUCCUCAAUGCCUGCAGCCCCAGCCAACUGCUUGACUGCAGCCUCAUGAGAGAUACAGAUCCAGAACCAACCAACUAAGCCCCUCCCAACUUCUCCACUCUCAGAAAUGAAUGAACUUACACUGACACAUCAUUAUCAUCCCAAGUCCUUUCCAUUGUAAUAUAUGCUUGUUCUUCUAAACCAUUCCAUCUUAGGGUAAUUUGCUACAUAGCAAUAGGUAAAUAGUACAGUGAUCUUCCCAGCAUGGUCGAUGUGAGGAUAAAAUGAAACAAAGAAUGCCCUAGGGAUUUGUGCAAUUAUAGAAAAGAGAGGAAGAGACAGACUCAGGGGUCAGGUGGUAUGAAACACCUGUCUCCAUGCAAUUGACUUAGGAGGUGAAGAGCAGAAGCUGUAAGUCCCAAGCUUUCCCCAGCACUUCCAAGGUGGGUGCUGACUAGUACCUUACACAGAACAAAGUAUCUCGCUGACCUCCCAGAUCUUCCCUGCAGGACUGCUGCUUUAUAGUGCUUCACAGAAAGAAACCAAGGCUCACAGAGGUCUAUGAAGUAAUUCGAUGACAGACACAGAGCAGAGAGGGUAAAAGCGGGGAGAAACUGAGGUAUCUUGGGCCUGGUUCAGGGCAGGGAAUUGGUGGCAGGGCUGCAGAGAGGUGUGGAAAAGAUGAUGAGAAGGGAUGAUGAAGAUGAGAGCCCCGGGAAGGCAGCCUCUCCUGUCUCCCAGGGCAGCCAGCUCUUUGAGCCCAACAGGCUUCCCAUGUGUCUCCAAUUGAAGCCAGGAAAAGUUGAAUCCAUGGUUUAUUACACAUUUACCCUGGAUGUACUCAAGGCUAUGGAGAAUACAAAGGCGAAAAUGACGUGA
ensembl:lincRNA